GAUGAAGAACGCAGCGAAAUGCGAUAAGUAGUGUGAAUUGCAGAAUUCAGUGAAUCAUCGAAUCUUUGAACGCACAUUGCGCCCUUUGGUAUUCCUUAGGGCAUGCCUGUUCGAGCGUCAUUAAACCUUCAAGCUAAGCUUGGUGUUGGGUGACUGUCCGCUUCACGGCGGACUCGCCUCAAAAUUAUUGGUGGCCGGUACAUUGGCUUCGAGCGCAGCAGAAACGCGAACUCGGGCCCGUCGUAUUGGCUCCCAGAAGCUAUCUUCACAAUUUUGACCUCGGAUCAGGUAGGGAUACCCGCUGAACUUAAGCAUAUCAAUAAGCGGAGGA
rnacentral:misc_RNA from 1 species